rnacentral:rRNA from 1 species
AUUGAACGCUGGCGGCAUGCCUUACACAUGCAAGUCGAACGGUAACGGGCCUUCGGGUGCCGACGAGUGGCGAACGGGUGAGUAAUACAUCGGAACGUGCCCGAUCGUGGGGGAUAACGAGGCGAAAGCUUUGCUAAUACCGCAUACGAUCUACGGAUGAAAGCAGGGGACCGCAAGGCCUUGCGCGGACGGAGCGGCCGAUGGCAGAUUAGGUAGUUGGUGGGAUAAAAGCUUACCAAGCCGACGAUCUGUAGCUGGUCUGAGAGGAUGAUCAGCCACACGGGGACGGGGACACGGCCCAGCCUCUUACGGGAGGAGGCGGGGGGAAUUUUUGGCCAAGGGGGGCAAGCCUGUCCCGGCCAGGCCGCGUGCAGAAUGAAGGCUUUCGGGUUGUAAACUGCUUUUGUACGGAACAAAAAGCCUUCUUUUAAUACAGGAGGGUCAUGACGGUACCGUAGAAUAAGCACCGGCUAACUACGUG